CCUACGGGAGGCAGCAGUGAGGGAUAUUGGUCAAUGGUCGGGAGACUGAACCAGCCAAGCCGCGUGAGGGAUGAAGGUACAGAGUAUCGUAAACCUCUUUUGUCAGGGAACAAAGGCGGGGACGCGUCCCCGGAUGAGCGUACCUGAAGAAAAAGCAUCGGCUAACUCCGUGCCAGCAGCCGCGGUAAUACGGAGGAUGCGAGCGUUAUCCGGAUUGAUUGGGUUUAAAGGGUGCGCAGGCGGUCUGUUAAGUCAGCGGUCAAAGCCCGGGGCUCAACCCCGGCCCGCCGUUGAAACUGGCAGUCUCGAGUUGGAGAGAGGUAUGCGGAAUGCGCGGUGUAGCGGUGAAAUGCAUAGAUAUCGCGCAGAACUCCGAGUGCGAAGGCAGCAUGCCGGCUCCACACUGACGCUGAGGCACGAAAGCGUGGGUAUCGAACAGGAUUAGAUACCCCUGUAGUC
rnacentral:rRNA from 1 species